UACGUAGGGAGCAAGCGUUGUCCGGAAUCAUUGGGCGUAAAGCGCGCGUAGGUGGUGAGUUAAGUCUGAUGUGAAAUCCCCGGGCUCAACCUGGGAAUGGCAUUGGAUACUGGCUCGCUAGAGUGCGGUAGAGGGUGGUGGAAUUCCCGGUGUAGCAGUGAAAUGCGUAGAGAUCGGGAGGAACAUCUGUGGCGAAGGCGGCCACCUGGACCAACACUGACACUGAGGCACGAAAGCGUGGGGAGCAAACAGG
rnacentral:rRNA from 1 species